UACGGGGGGGGCAAGCGUUGUUCGGAAUUACUGGGCGUAAAGGGCUCGUAGGUGGCCAACUAAGUCAGACGUGAAAUCCCUCGGCUUAACCGGGGAACUGCGUCUGAUACUGGAUGGCUUGAGUUUGGGAGAGGGAUGCGGAAUUCCAGGUGUAGCGGUGAAAUGCGUAGAUAUCUGGAGGAACACCGGUGGCGAAGGCGGCCUUCUGGACGGAUACUGACGCUGAUACGCGAAAGCGUGGGGAGCAAACAGG
rnacentral:rRNA from 1 species